CAGCCAAUGCCAAAUCUGCAGUAAAGUUUUUAAACAUCAGCGAAACCUGUGGAGGCAUCAAAACUACGAGUACAAUAAACCAAAGUCGUUCAUUUGUCCGUAUUGUAAAUAUGCUGCUCAUCAUAAGAGUCAAUUAAAAAGUCACUUUUCAAGGAAGCAUAAGCAAUAUCCAAAUUUUGAAGAAGUAUGGAGACAAUUAUUUACGUGGAAUUAAGCUUUUAUGAAAUAAGACAGGAUCGUUAAACUUCAAUAUCAUAAAUUUCCCAAAUGUGAUAAUUAACGAACGGUGUCGUCACAUUCACACUAGUUCGGAAGUAUAAAUGCGACAGAUGUUCUAGAUCAUACGAGAAGAAAAAUUCAUUAAUUUGUCAUCAAUCCAAAGAUUGCGGACAACGUGUAGCAUGCGGAUAUUGCAUGAAAACUUUUGCUCGAAGAAAAACUUUAGAUCUGCAUGUAUUCAAAAAACACUACGAGUUUUAAAAACUUAAUCUGCUAUCAGCAAGUUACCAAAAAUACCAUUUUUGUUACUUUUUCUUAGAUUUAAUAUAUAUUAUAAUAAACAUUAUUUGAC